rnacentral:tRNA from 1 species
GCUCGGGUGGUGGAAUGGCAGACACGCAUGUUUGAGGGGCAUGUGGGGAAACCCAUGGGGGUUCGAGUCCCCCCCCGAGCACCA